GAGUAACACGUGGGUAACCUGCCUGUAAGACUGGGAUAACUCCGGGAAACCGGAGCUAAUACCGGAUAGUUCCUUGAACCGCAUGGUUCAAGGAUGAAAGACGGUUUCGGCUGUCACUUACAGAUGGACCCGCGGCGCAUUAGCUAGUUGGUGAGGUAACGGCUCACCAAGGCGACGAUGCGUAGCCGACCUGAGAGGGUGAUCGGCCACACUGGGACUGAGACACGGCCCAGACUCCUACGGGAGGCAGCAGUAGGGAAUCUUCCGCAAUGGACGAAAGUCUGACGGAGCAACGCCGCGUGAGUGAUGAAGGUUUUCGGAUCGUAAAGCUCUGUUGUUAGGGAAGAACAAGUGCAAGAGUAACUGCUUGCACCUUGACGGUACCUAACCAGAAAGCCACGGCUAACUACGUGCCAGCAGCCGCGGUAAUACGUAGGUGG
rnacentral:rRNA from 1 species